rnacentral:other from 2 species
CGUUCCCUGGAACGCCCGUGAUUUUGUUUCGGUGCUGGCCUGACAAGCAUAUACAAGGGAAUCGUUCCUGUCCUCUGUGUGCAUGCCCGGAUUUUUUCGGGAAGCCUGAUCAGGGCAUACAGAUCCCGACCUGGAAAUCCAGGUUCUGCACCGCAUCACGACACGACGUUCCGGGGAUUCG